rnacentral:rRNA from 1 species
UGGCUCCUACGGGACGCAGCAGUGGGGGAUAUUGCACAAUGGGGGGAACCCUGAUGCAGCGACGCCGCGUGGGUGAAGAAGCGCCUCGGCGCGUAAAGCCCUGUCAGCAGGGAAGAAAAUGACGGUACCUGAAGAAGAAGCCCCGGCUAACUACGUGCCAGCAGCCGCGGUAAUACGUAGGGGGCAAGCGUUGUCCGGAAUGACUGGGCGUAAAGGGUGUGUAGGCGGUUUAUUAAGUUAGAAGUGAAAUACCUAGGGCUUAACCCAGGUGCUGCUUCUAAAACUGAUAGACUUGAGUGCCGUAG